GAUGAACGCUGGCGGCGUGCCUAAUACAUGCAAGUCGAGCGAACAGACGAGGAGCUUGCUCCUCUGACGUUAGCGGCGGACGGGUGAGUAACACGUGGAUAACCUACCUAUAAGACUGGGAUAACUUCGGGAAACCGGAGCUAAUACCGGAUAAUAUAUUGAACCGCAUGGUUCAAUAGUGAAAGACGGUUUUGCUGUCACUUAUAGAUGGAUCCGCGCCGCAUUAGCUAGUUGGUAAGGUAACGGCUUACCAAGGCAACGAUGCGUAGCCGACCUGAGAGGGUGAUCGGCCACACUGGAACUGUGACACGGUCCAGACUCCUACGGGAGGCAGCAGUAGGGAAUCUUCCGCAAUGGGCGAAAGCCUGACGGAGCACCGCCGCGUGAGUGAUGAAGGUCUUCGGAUCGUAAAUCUCUGUUAUUAGGGAAGAACAAAUGUGUAAGUAACUAUGCACGUCUUGACGGUACCUAAUCAGAAAGCCACGGCUAACUACGUG
rnacentral:rRNA from 1 species